UACAGAGGGGGCAAGCGUUAUUCGGAAUUAUUGGGCGUAAAGGGCGCGUAGGCGGCUUGGCAAGUGGAUGGUGAAAUCCCUCGGCUUAACCGAGGAACUGCCGUCCAAACUGCUUCGCUUGAGACCGGGAGAGGUGAGUGGAAUUCCCAGUGUAGCGGUGAAAUGCGUAGAUCUUGGGAGGAACACCAGUGGCGAAGGCGGCUCACUGGACCGGUACUGACGCUGAGACGCGAAAGCGUGGGGAGCGAACAGG
rnacentral:rRNA from 1 species